CCUACGGGAGGCUGCAGUAGGGAAUCUUCCGCAAUGGACGAAAGUCUGACGGAGCAACGCCGCGUGGGUGAAGAAGGCCUGCGGGUUGUAAAGCCCUUUCGGUGGGGAAGAAAAGCCUCGAGUUAAUACCUCGGGGUCUUGACGUAACCCAUAGAAGAAGCACCGGCUAACUCUGUGCCAGCAGCCGCGGUAAUACAGAGGGUGCGAGCGUUAAUCGGAAUUACUGGGCGUAAAGCGCGCGUAGGCGGCUUUGCAAGUCGGGUGUGAAAUCCCCAGGCUUAACCUGGGAACUGCAUUCGAGACUGCAUUGCUAGAGUAUGGGAGAGGGAAGUGGAAUUUCCGGUGUAGCGGUGAAAUGCGUAGAUAUCGGAAGGAACAUCAGUGGCGAAAGCGACUUCCUGGACCAAUACUGACGCUCAUGUGCGAAAGCGUGGGGAGCA
rnacentral:rRNA from 1 species